AUCUACCUCUGCAGUCUCUGCUCCAAAAUCAUAAGCUCAGUGUUUGCUGAACAGAGAGGACUCAGAAUUUUCAGAAGGUACAUCUUCACCAUGAAGUGUGUGGCACUCUCUCUUCUUUUCCUUCUUAUAGUAGCAGAAGUAAUCAGUCAAGAAGAUGGAAGUGGUGAAGCAAUCAGCCAGUGUGCACAACAAGGAGGUACUUGUCGUCAGCACUGUUUACCACAAGAAGACAAAGUAAAUAUUUUUGGAUGCGGUUUCAUUUAUAGAUGCUGUAAAAAUAAAGGACAUUGCAAGAAGUUUUGAGAUAUACUGACUUAAAAAUGGUUGAAAUACAACAGCUGCAGAACAAAUCUCACUGUUUGAUAACAAUAGCUACUCUGUUUUUGAUUGAUAUACAUAGUUAGCAUUUGUCUUACUUCAGAAAUGGUUCUUCUGCUAUAAAGAGGCUUGCAGAGUAAAACAAAAUGGCUUUUCAAUGACUUGCAUGUGAUUUAGAAUAUGUAAUCCCAAUUCUUAAAUUCCUGCACAGUGCUAAUUGAGCAAAAGAUGUUCCAUUUUGGUAGCAUGACACACAAUGCGAAGCAACUGCAUUCUUAACUCCUAUUCAUUUAAUCUUUUACAAAAAAAAAAAAAGAAAGAUAAAAAUACAUUUUGUGUGUCAUUGUUUAGUCAUAAAAUCAUAGAAACAUUAAUAUAGGGAUAACUGAAGACACCAUAUACAAUAUAUAAUUACUUGUCAUUUAUAUAUUACAGUGCUUCAAACUACAGUAUGCUGUUGUAGGGUGGGAUACAAGAUAUGUCAAACAUGACUAAUUACUAUGCUGCUCAUUAGUAUAAAAAUGAGAUAGUGAUCAUAAAUCAUUCAGACAAGUAUCUGUAGAAUGAGGAAUGCCAUAUUCACAAGGUACUAUGUGGUACUAUGAAGAAAGGCCGACAUAAAUGUCUGAUAUCAAAAUAUUGAAAGAAUCAAAAAUAAGAGCGUACAGAUAAUGCCUGAUAAGGUAUGGCUAAAAGAGAAUGAUUUGUUAGAAUUAUUUACUUUAUUUGUUUUACAAGCCAAUUUAACAAUGUUAUUUAUAUUCAUUACCAAAAGUGGAGAGACUUUCUCUCCAGCCUAGAAGAUGCUUUGGGUAUAAAACAUGGAAUGGCAUACAAGAGACCAUUCUGGCCAGGAAUCAUUGUGCAAUAGCUGAAAGACUGAAAGUACACUGGAGGACUUGCUAUAACAAAUCUGAGCAUGACAAAGCCUCUACCAAUAGGGUAACCUACAUGUGAACGAAGAAGUCUCGAGUGUCAUUUGCCUGAGGUUCAACAUGCUGGUCAACAGAGCUCCACAUAGGAAAUCACUUUGGGUGAAUUGUGCCAGCAAUGAAGUCCUUUAUGGGAGUAACAUCCCCCUUCUUUGAGUUGGAGCCGCCAUGCAGUGGGUAUAUUUAGGUUCAGGGGAUUGUGCAGGGGAGCAUGUCCUCCUGCAAAAAAUACUAAAAAAUGUGCUUUUAUAGCUUUUCUUUGUUUGGGGGAUGGAGUUCGCAGAUUUCCAUCCUCAGCAGGCUGAACCUUGACCACUCAUAAUGCAAGUGUUAAUAAUAUUUCUUAUUUGAUUGGUUGGGUUGUUAUAUAACUUAACUUGUAUAACAUAACUUUAUUUCCUUUUAAAAGUAUCUGUGUUUGAGCUUGUAUUUGUCUGAUGAAGUUGAUGUAUACAUUUUAUGAAUAAAAUUCCCAUGGUA